GGGCUGGGGCUCAGCGGUAGAGUACUCACCUACCAUGUGCAAAGCCUUGGGUUCGAUCCUCAGCACCCCA
rnacentral:tRNA from 1 species